rnacentral:rRNA from 1 species
UACGAAGGGGGCGAGCGUUGUUCGGAUUUACUGGGCGUAAAGGGCGCGCAGGCGGUUCUGUUUGUCGAGUGUGAAAGCCCCGGGCUCAACCUGGGAACUGCGCUCGAAACGGCGGAACUAGAGUUCGGGAGAGGAGAGUGGAAUUCCCAGUGUAGAGGUGAAAUUCGUAGAUAUUGAGAAGAACACCGGUGGCGAAGGCGGCUCUCUGGACCGAUACUGACGCUGAGGUGCGAAAGCGUGGGGAGCAAACAGG